GACGAACGCUGGCGGCGUGCCUAAUACAUGCAAGUCGAGCGGAUCUUGUCCUUCGGGACAAGGUUAGCGGCGGACGGGUGAGUAACACGUAGGUAACCUGCCUGUAAGAUCGGGAUAACUAUCGGAAACGAUAGCUAAGACCGGAUAAUUGAUUUCUCCGCAUGGAGGGAUUAUGAAACACGGUGCAAGCUGUGGCUUACAGAUGGACCUGCGGCGCAUUAGCUAGUUGGUGGGGUAACGGCCCACCAAGGCGACGAUGCGUAGCCGACCUGAGAGGGUGAUCGGCCACACUGGGACUGAGACACGGCCCAGACUCCUACGGGAGGCAGCAGUAGGGAAUCUUCCGCAAUGGACGAAAGUCUGACGGAGCAACGCCGCGUGAGUGAUGAAGGUUUUCGGAUCGUAAAGCUCUGUUGCCAGGGAAGAACGGCCAGGAGAGUAACUGCUCUUGGAAUGACGGUACCUGAGAAGAAAGCCCCGGCUAACUACGUGCCAGCAGCCGCCGUAAAAC
rnacentral:rRNA from 1 species